UCCAUUUGGUGGCCAUUGGCGCAUGGCUGCAUUGGCUUCAGGCGACAUGACGCUACUGCAUAGCGACAGGAACGCGACGAGGACAAACAGUACCAGCUUCAUGUUUGGGCGAUUCUGAUAUCUGCUAAAUUCUUUGCUCUUAUAUACACUUUCAGCUGUCAUUAUACGAUAUCAUACCUCACAGAUCCAUUGGACGUGGAUUAAACUGUGAAAUUUCAUAUUUCAGAAGGAAAAGACAACGAAAUUUGGUAUUAAGCACAGACUUCCUGGUGCAAGCGGGUGACCAGGCAUAGACGUCCUUUCCGCAUACUCCUUCCUAUUUCUUUGCUUCUGAAGACGAUGGAACGAUGGCGUCUGUGGCGCCCAAUUUAAUCUCUAGUUCCCAGCAUGCCCUUCAUGCAAUAAAAGGGCUCUAGAGGCUCUACCAGAAGGAGAUCACAGAUGUAGCGGAAAAAUUGUACUUAUACAUAUGUGUACUGACUGAGAACGAGUAUAAAGGUAGAGUCGCGGCAACUGAAGCGACUCACAACGUGCCCUCUAGGUGUCGAAUUAAAAUGAAAAUUUAGCCAUACAAUAAACUACAGUAAAAUCAAAAUCAAAA